UACGUAGGGGGCAAGCGUUGUCCGGAAUCAUUGGGCGUAAAGCGCGCGUAGGCGGCCAGAUAAGUCCGGUGUGAAAGCCACAGGCUCAACCUGUGAAUGCCGCUGGAAACUGUCUGGCUAGAGUCCGGGAGGGGCGAGUGGAAUUCCUGGUGUAGCGGUGAAAUGCGCAGAUAUCAGGAGGAACACCGGUGGCGAAGGCGGAUCUCUGGGCCAUUACUGACGCUGAGGAGCGAAAGCGUGGGGAGCGAACAGG
rnacentral:rRNA from 1 species